rnacentral:rRNA from 1 species
CACGUAGGGAGCAAGCGUUGUCCGGAAUCAUUGGGCGUAAAGCGCGCGUAGGUGGCUUCGUAAGUCCGUUGUGAAAGUCAAAGGCUCAACCUUUGAAAGCCGAUGGAUACUGCGGAGCUAGAGUACGGAAGAGGCGAGUGGAAUUCCUGGUGUAGCGGUGGAAUGCGCAGAUAUCAGGAGGAACACCAAUAGCGAAGGCAGCUCGCUGGGACGUUACUGACACUAAGGCGCGAAAGCGUGGGGAGCGAACAGG